rnacentral:misc_RNA from 1 species
AGAUGAAGAACGUAGCGAAAUGCGAUAAGUAAUGUGAAUUGCAGAAUUCAGUGAAUCAUCGAAUCUUUGAACGCACAUUGCGCCCGCCAGUAUUCUGGCGGGCAUGCCUGUUCGAGCGUCAUUUCAACCCUCAAGCCCCCGCGGCUUGGUGUUGGGGGCCUGCGCACCGCAGCCCCCUAAAGACAGCGGUGGGCGUGGCCUGGUACCGAACGUAGUAGACUCUACCCUCGUUCGCGGUCCAGGGCGCGCUCCGGCCGGUAAACCCCCAUCUUUUACAAUGGUUGACCUCGGAUCAGGUAGGAAUACCCGCUGAACUUAAGCAUAUCAAUAAGCGGAGGA